rnacentral:lncRNA from 1 species
GUAUUAAAAACAAAACAAAACAAAAAAUCCAAAAUGUUGUCAAUGCACCAGGCAAAGGCAAGGCUAAACAAGAGCAAGAAAGAAAUCAUCUAUAACAUAAAACCAUCUACAAGCUCCAUCAUUCAAGGAUGACAUGGUACUGUUUCACAUGAUAAACCAAAGGAACAUACAGACCUCCAUGAAAGUGUUAUCUAGAGCAUGGAUAACACUAAACUCUCCUACUAUUGACCCAAGACUGCAAAUGAAACUUAUGAGGGAAAAUUUUGUCACUAUUUGAAGAAGCAUGUGGUCUUCUACUUCAAAUUAAGAAACUAUUGCCUGAGUAAAGGAGUAAAGAAGGCUAUUAAUUACACUACUAAGGUCUGAUUUUAUUCAAAUUGUAGAUUCCAGAAAAACUAGAAAAAAGACACGAAAGUGGAUUGAGGGUUCAAAAAGACAUGACAACCUAUAAUUAGGCAGAGGAUAUGGCCUUGAAAGUUGUUGACAGCUGUUUAGUCAAACCUGUGUAGUCAGAUUUCAAAGGUUUGCUGGAUAGGAGUUCAAAUUAAGGCUAUAUCCUCAAAUUAAGAAACUAUCGCCUGAGUAAAAAAGGCUAUUAAUUACACUACUAAGGUCUGAUUUUAUUCAAAUUGUAGAUUCCAGAAAAACUAGAAAAAAGACACAAAAGUGGAUUGAGGGUUGAAAAAGACAUGACAACCUAUAAUUAGGCGGAGGAUAUGGCCUUGAAAGUUGUUGAUAGCUGUUUAGUCAAACCCGUGUAGUCAGAUUUCAAAGGUUUGCUGGAUAGGAGUUCGGAAUUUCUUAAUGAUUAAUCUACCUUCUUUAUGUCAUUUCUGCAUAUCUUUCUUCAUCCCAUACUCCCGUACAAAAUUUGGUUGACACUCUCUCGGACAAUGAUUUGGCACUAAAGAAGAUAAUUUGAACCUCAUGCUCAAGGAUACAUCUCUCCCAUCCAUAUGGUUUUUAUCAGAUUCCAACAUGGAUAUUUUUCUCACAACUCACUGCAUCAGAAACUCUUUCUCAUAAUGUUACAUUUUCAGAUCAUUUAUCUUGCUUCUCUCCACAGCAUCAAGUGGUACUCACUCAUUCUCCUCUUUUUUUCCAUCCCUAUUGCAUAUUAAGCCACCAUCUUUAUAAUGUAAUAAUGUAUUAUCACCAAAUUCCAACAAAUUCAAUACAUAUUAGUCUCUGAAGGCAAUGAUCUUAAAGCACUUGCAAUUAAGAAGAUCCUUGAAGCCUCCAAAUCAUCUCUGAAACUAAUACACAUUCAUCAAAAACCGAUGCAUAUGAUUUUUACCAGCUGAUCUUUAUCAGCACUCCCAGGUUGCAUUGCCAAGAGAAUAUAGUUUCAAUCCUGGUCAAUCACAAAACUCACUGGAAGUACUACUUUUCUCUUAUUAAAAAAAAAAAUCAAGACUUAGGAUUCCUUUUUUU